CUUCUCUCCCCUUCUCUCCUUUCUCAACAUACUCAUUCGCCGUCAUGCAUUUUUAUUUAUGGUUACUAUUGGAGAUGCAGGCUAUUAUAUAUUUAUGUAGUUUGCAAUUGAUUAUACUUCCUCCUUUAUUUAACUUGCACCAUUUGGGUUGGACACAAACAUUAAAAGGAGUAAAUAUCAAGAAUGCUCAUGUGAUAACAAACAAAUUAGGAAGAAGGUCAAGUAUUAAUUGUAAAUAUAAAAUAUGUAUAAAGGUAAAAUGGGUAUUGACCAAAAAGCAUGUGAAUGCAUACCAUGAAAGGAAAUGGUGCAACUAAUAUAAACUUCCAAAAAAGGAAAAUGGUGCUAACUAAAAAGACUAUAUGUUUAUUAAUGACAUGGUAGAUUAUGGAAUGAGGCUGGGGGGAGUAUGUGUUGGCGGCCCGGCCUUGUACCGGUCUAAGGUGGAAUACGAAACAGAGCCUCAUAUUUUAAGGGGCCCAAAUUGGUGAAAAACGGACUGAAAGAAAAAGCAAAACAAAAAGAGAAAAAUUUAGAGUGCAUCACGUGUUAAUGGGAUGGGGGGCCCUACUUCUCUCUUUUGCUUUGUCUGUCCUCAAACUUCUUUGUCACUAUUGACACUUGGUAGUCAUGGCCUAGGUAGCACGGAUACGGGUAUGGGUACGAAAAACGACAAAACCAAAAUUUUUAAAAAUGGGAACGGCUUGGAUUCGGCAAAAAAGUUAAAUAAUAUAUAGGACAAAUACAUUUUGAGUAAUUCUAAAAUACGGUUUUCGAUAACAUAAUACGAUUUCAUUUAAAUUGAAAAAAAGUACUCCCUCCAUUCCUAAAAGUUCUUCCUGUUUCCUUUUUUGGCGUUCCUAAAAGUUCUUCCUGUUUCUAUUUUUGGACAUGUUUUUUGUCCAAAAUACCCUUAUAUUUCAACUUAAUUACACACAAUAUCUAAGAAUCUUUUCAUAUUCUACCAUCAAUUUCCCCACCAUCCCUUAUUUAGUUCAUUCACAUUUCCCCACCAUCCCUUAUUUAGUUCAUUCACAUUUCCCCAUUCACCUACCCAACCCCACUUAUGAUUUUUAAUUACUUUAUUAAAAAUAUCUUCUCUCUCCUUCAUUUCUUUAUUACUUUCUCUUACACCCAAUCAUUACUCUUACACCCAAUCAUUACAAGAUUCCAUUUUCUUAAUUUUCACCCCAAACCUCAAAUAGGAAGAACUUAAAGGAACAGAGGGAGUACAUAUUUAAGCUUUAAUCAAAACUCAAAAAAAAAAAAGAAGAAAAAAGUACACUAACUAAACUUAAAAAAGAAGAUAAAAUACUAAAAAUACAAGAGUCCUACAGAGUAAAAGGGUAGGAUGGACAAAUGUUGACAGCUAAUCCUUUAUAAAAAAAUUCAAAAUAAACAAAUAAAUAAUAUAAAGUGGACAAAUGUUGACAGCUAGACUCCUAGCAACACAACACCAAAACGACAACAAGUACUGUUUAAGAGAAAAAACAAUUAAUCCAAAUUUGUGGUGGAUCCCACUUCUAAAGCUGUCACCCACUUCCUCCUCCCCGCUUCUCCUUCCUUACUUUUCUUUUAGAUCUACUUUCACAGUUUCAUGGUUAUGGUUCCUUCAACCUUCUGCCUCCACCUUUAUAAAAAAUUACAAACCAGUUCAAUUACUUCUUUUGUAUCUUCGUGGGAAAUGUCAUUCGGCGAAGAAGAGGAAAGUGUACGCCUUAAAGCUUUAAAAUCCGUUCCCGAAACGUCCCCAUCAACUUCCCUAUCCGUCCCCUACUAAACUUGACGUCCCCACCAUUCAAGAGUCGUUUAGGGGACGUUUUUCCGACGUAUCCGUCCCGUACCCGUACGGGUAAGUACCCGUGCUUCAUAGGUCAUGGCAGAGGGAGUCAGAAUAACAUGUAGAGUAAUACUCCUUUUUUGUACUCUAUUUUUUUUACUGUCUAAUUUAUUGAUUUUUUAUUUGCCACAUUUUUGUAGAUCAUUUAUAUUUUUACAUUUUCCCAGAAGUUGAUGUUGAAAAUAAAUAAAAACAAAUUAGGGGUCCGUUUUUUAUCAUUAGCACACAGCCACACAACCUCCGUGUAGUUUGGGCCGGGCCUACAUGUUUUCAGAGGCUAUAGCCAAUUCUAUGUUUAACUUGAUUAUGUCUAAUCAUGCCGAUGCCUUAUUGAGCAUCCGUGCUUGAUACGUCAAAGUUCAGGUAACUUUUUUUAUGAAAUGUUGGAAAACUUUUAUGGAUGACCUUUUGGGGAAGUAUGCCCGAUGAAUCUUUGAUGGCAUAUCAGGGGAUUUUACGUGAUGUGAGGUGACUUUUAAUGUCUUGUUUAUGCACCCGUCUUUUGUAAGAAAUUACCAUUAUAAUGUGGGGAUAAUUAUGCUAAGAUUUUAUUUUAAAUAAUACACUAGAAUAGUAGAGUACGGAGUACGACUUAAUUUCUUGGAUUAGGUUCCUCUCUUCUACAGAGGUGAAGAGUUUAGUGAAUACAUUUUGGAACAAUGCUUGUCUGACCUGCCUUGAUGUAGCAGUGCAAGAAUUUCCAGAUCAUAAUAAUAUAUUUUGGAUUUGCUUGUAGCGGAAGCAUAGUUGUUUCACACAAGGCUAGGUGACCUCUUCAUUACACCUCUUAAGCAUUUGAAGAAAGUAAAAAUAGGAAAAAAGGGUCUCUUUGUGUCCUGUAUCCACAUCUGAUCAAUGAUCCGAGUCAAUAAAGUAUUGCGUACUUAGACUACUUUCUUUAUGACCCUUACAGAGGUAUACGCAGUGAUUGCCUUGAGAGAGUUCCAUUUCCAUAAUCUAUUGAAGGAAAAGCACUGAACUUUAACUGAUUUUGAUCUUCAUAAUAGUGGGUCUACCUAUGUUUUUUCCGGUUGUAAUUUCAUUUUAUAUCAGAAUUACUCGAUCAAUGCUUUUAAGUGACAUUAAUUCGGGACCUACUAUGCCACUUUUCCAUAAUAAACAUCUUUUACCUUGAUGUUAAUUAUGUUUAAAUUACAUCCCAUGCAAGUUUAGUACUUCGUAGUUCUUUUCCUCGGUUGAACAACAAGGUUGCAGUUUUCGGCUUCUGUUGGUGCUCCUUUUUGUCAAAGCAAUUCAGCAAAAGUAAAAGAUCGUCUUUCUCUGUGCGCACUAUCCAAUCUAGUUUGUUGUAUAUGUAAAGUUUGCAAGAGCCAAGAGGCAUAAAAUGCCGCUUUGCCUAACCCGAGGUAAUCUUUGACUCUUAGGCGUCAGCCAAGAGAGAUGAUUAGUUUGUGGGAUAAAUAUUCGACCAUAAUUCCCUAAAAUGUCAUUUUGAGGUAGUUUUCCUACUUGCACUCUUUUCUUACCCUCGUUUUUGGUGUUGUGGGUAAUUGAUAUUUUUAUUGUCUAACCUAAGUUGAUGGGAUUUUGCCUCCAAUGUUUACAGUGCUUAGAUAUAGUCGUGUGACCGUUAAUUAUGAAUGGAGUGAGUAAUAAAUUACCUUUUAUUUCUGAAGUCCAAGAAGGAGGGGAGUGCUUAAACCGGUGUGAAGAACACAAGCCCAUACAAAAAUAUGAAAGAGAAUAUUUAACGCAAAGGCAGUGCCUAUAACUUCAAGUAUAUCAACGAUUAUGAUUACUUUUGCUAGCAAUCCUAAGCAAUACUUCACUACUAUAGGGUACUCCGCUUAUAUUCUUUCAAUUGCCGGAAUACAAACAUGAUUUUGGGAAGAAUUUGAGUGAUUAGUUACAUCUAAUUUAUGAUUAAGCAAUACUUUUUCUAAUGUUUGAUUGAGCUGAAAUUAACCUUUGGGAUUAUCAUCGAGAUUUGCUCCUAGAGAUUGGAUAAUCAAAAUGAAAAUCAACCUAUCUUAUUAGCUAUGUUACUCAGACACGGGUGUCGCUGUCGUGUCCGACACGGGUGUGGUGUCGGACACUCCGAUCCAAAUAUUUGCAGACACUCCGACACGGUCAAAGGAGUGUCUUGACUUUUUUUUAGACACGGCUCCCAUACAAAGUGUCGGAUAAAAAAAGCGACACUUUUUACAAAAAUACAUAAAUAGUUUAAAUAAAAAAAAAUUAAGAUAUAAAAGUUACUCAAAAUAUCCAAAUGCAAAAAUUUAACCACUUAAACAUAGAAUAGGUCUGUUGCACUUCCAAACACCAAUGAUAGAUUGUCUGGAGAACUUCUCUUAACAUAAAAACUUAAAACUACUCAGAAAUUCAAAGUCUCAUAACAUAAAAACUACUAGUCUUCUAUUGCACUUCCAACACCAACAAUAGCUCGUUCCAACUCCGGUUCAUUGAGGGAGAGUUGAGCAAUCUCGCAAACAUCAACAUUCACAUCAAAUGUAUCUCCACCAAUACUUACUAAUUUGUUAAGAUUAACAUAAAAAGGGUUAGAAAUUUAAAUAUUACCUACGUCCCAAUAACAGCUAGGAUCGGAUUUGUAGCUCUCUUCCUUCCUUGCCAUUACACGAAGGUUGUUAUGGCAAUAAAUCAAGUCUUUCGCGCUUUCAGAUGUGAGCCUAUUUCUCUUGACUGUUUGAAUAUUGUCAUAAUGGUUCCAAUUGCGUUCGCAACAUGAAGAUGAUGCUGGUUGUGACAAUGAUUUAAAGGCCAAAGAUUGAAGGUGUGGAAGUGAUGAACCGUAAUUUGCCCACUAAGCAAUCGGUUCUUCAUCACCCGGGCAACAAUUAUAUGAGCUUGAUUGAAAGGGGGUGUUUCGCUGCCCCGUACUCCAAUCUAACAUGUUUGAAAUCAUCUGGAUUUGGAAAGAGGCACUUAAAACAGUCAUUUCUGUUGUUGGAAACCUCUUCAUCUUCGUUGGGGAAACCCUUGCAAAUCCCGAUGUGCUACCCUUAAGCCAUCGGGUGCUAUAGAAUCUUGGCACAAGUGAAUGUGCCAAACAAUGCAAAGGGGUAGAACUUUUGUUCCACCUGCUUUCUAACACUUUAUGAAUGGCAUCAUAAAAAUCAGAUGUGUCAGUUAAAAUAUCUUUCCCUUUGUGGUCGAAAAUGUGAACCUUGAUUCUUUCGAUCAUUGUAUCCCACAUGUCGUACACAAGAUGCAAGACAGGCGCAUCUUUGUCACCCACACGAAUCAUCUCUUAUAUAGGUUGAGCAAACUUCAAGUAGUCAAGAUUGUCUCACCAACUGUCAUUCAAAACCUUCUCUUUGUACUCACGAGGUUUAAUAUCGAUCGGAUUCUUGGUAGUUCUAAACAGAACCCUAAAGUUAUAAUCCAUAACCACUUUUUCGAGACCUUCCUUGACUUCCUUCAUGCGUUCUGCAACGUAAUGGCUUGCAAACCUUGUCUCGGCCACCGACAAGAUUUGUAACUUAGUAUGCUUAGUGAAUAUACUCUUUACCAUGUCAUGUGUAGUCACGAACUUUUGAAUUUUCUUUACAUCUGUACAUAGGUUCUUCGGCCAUAUACACUGAUCAAAAUGGUCAGAUUUCUCAGGAGGCUCACAAAUACUUUUGAAGGCCAAGAUUGACACAAUGCACCACACACGGUGUCCAAAAUAUACGAGGAUAUUUAGCUUCAACAAUGGAACCUAGCAAAGAUGGGGAACACAUAAUUAAGGCUGGGAAUUUCUUAGAGGAUGACUAUGUGGAAACAAAUAAGAACAGGGAAAACCAAUAUAUACAAUAAGAUAAAUGGAAAGACAAAAUGGAAAAGAGAAAAGACAAAAAACUAUACCUGCUGCUUUGAAAUUAGGUCCAUUAUCAGGUUGUUAUUCUCUGCUCCCACUUCUUCAAUGGCCUUAAUGAAGAACUCAGACACAAAAGCAGCAUCCUUGCGCUUUCCAGAUGCAUCAACUGAAUCAAUAAACAAUAAACACAACUGAUGUACCAGAUGCACCCAUAAUGUUUAUUAUAGGCCUACUAACCACAUCCGACCGACCAUCAGAGCAUAUAGAAACCCCCUUUUUUACCCAAGUAUCCCUUAUAGGCUGAAACAAUCUACUAAUAUGGGUUUUCUCUUGGGAAGGCAAGGUUGUUCUAAGUCGAUUAUAAGUGGGUGGAACAUACCCAUCAAGACCAUAGUUGGCUAAAUUCGUACAAUAACUCCUGAAGUAGGGGUUUCUUGCAAAAUUUAUGGUAGAGCAACUGAAAUGAACAUCCUAGCACAUUGUUUAUCAAGAUCUUCCCUAUCUUUUGCUUUGAAAGCCUUUUUAAUAGAAGAUCCAACAGUACCUUUUCUUUUCUUAGGUUGUUUCAAAUCAAAUCCCGGAGGAAGGGAAAGAUAUUUUGACCUUUGUUGUUCAUCUACCUUUGAAGUCAACUUGUUGAGUACAGCUCCAUCCUCUUCACGAUUCAAUUCUUCCUUAAGCUCAUUGUUGACCUUUGUACAAGCAGUGGGUCCUCUACCCGACAAAUGAAGCAAAUGGCCCUUCACCUUAUAAUAUGAGGUUGCACUUCCAAACUUUGGUUCUACCACCGUCAACACUAUCCCGUGUAAUUGUUACAUACUUCCACAAUGGAGUACAGUUCCAUCCUCUUCACGAUUCAAUUCUUCCUUAAGCUCAUUGUUGAGCUUUGUACAAGCAGUGGUUCCUCUACCCGACAAAUGAAGCAAAUGGCCCUUCACCUUAUAAUAUGAGGUUGCAUUUCCAAAGUUUGGUUCCACCACCGUCAACACUAUCCCGUGUAAUUGUUACAUACUUCCACAAUGGAGUAGUGGUUAUAUUAACAGGACGACGCCCAUCAUCCCUUUCAUUGUUGCUUAGUUUUAAAAAGCGCGCCUUUUUGCGCUUAAAGCUCGGAAGCUCACAACAAAACGCUUCUGCCAACCGAAGCCUAGCGACAUACAGGAAGCGCGCGCUUCCUAGCGCUUUUGCGCUUCCCGUAGUUUGGGCACAUUAGACCCUUCUUUUUUAUAAAAAAUAAAGCCACGUGACUCUAAUCUUCUUUCUUAAAGAAUCACGUGAUUUCUUUUUUUUUAAAAAGUGAAUAUUUGAGAAGUUUUUGAAAACCCUAGUGCAAUUUUAUCCCGUAGCCGGAUUUCUCUAGCCUUCUCGGAUCCUGAAUUUAUCUUUCAUCGUUUUGAUUUCUCUUUAUCUUUUUUUCAUCUUUUCUUUUCAUCUUUUCUCCAUAUUUUCUGAAUUUUUGAAAUUUUAUUAUUUCUUUCCGGAUGCGCUUUGCAUACGAAAAGCGUGCGCUUUCGCUUUGCGCUUAAGCUCCAGGGCCCUUUUGCACUUCAUGACUGCCUCUCCUAUAUACAAAAUUCUCCCUAGGGAGACAAAUGGACUCGCCCCAGCCUCCAUGGCAUCCAAAUAGAACUGGGCAACACCUUCAAUCGUGGCCAACAUGGUAUCCGGUGGGUCCUUAGUGAUAAGCCUGCCUCUCGUACUAUGUUGAAGAGACACUCGCUCCCCCAGAUACCACAUAUGGCGAUACACCCUCGGGAGCAAGACCAUCGCCCAAACAAGAAGUGGGCCUGCAUUACCGAAACAGGUAGGCGCACCAGCAAAAGGAUGCCAAACCACCUACAACAUAGACAACUCAGACAAUUAUACAAGUGCAACAGAUACGAAAGUCUAGAACAGUACAAAGCAUACCUGCAAAGCUCUGCGGAAAGUCGCCAAAGACAUUGUUGCGCACGCUCCUACCCAAGAGGCAGCAUACGGGUAAGCCGCAAUCCCAGUACGAGCUGGCGCCAAAGUCGGAAAAUGCUCGUACACCCAGAUAUUCAAAGAACAAGCAGAAGCAUCGGUCAAAUCCUAUGUGUACAAGAUUCAAGAUACAAACAUACAAGUACAAAAUACAAAGUCCCAAAUACCUAUAGCACGGUCCACAAAGCAGCAACGCUCGCCUUGCUCUCCGGUGAAGUCCGGGAGGCGUUCUUCAUUUCAUACAAAAAGUGGUUGUAUGCCAGACCACCCCGGUUGAGGCCUGAAAUAGCCCUCAAGUCACUCAAAGCUUCUAGGAAGCCAACCAGCACCCGACUACUCCAGCUCGGGGCCAUCGCUCUACUCACAAGGGCCAGGAGGAAGAGCCGAACCCUCUGUUGCGCAGAUAUGUCCGUGCUGCGGAUCCCAGCCAUGAUCACCGUCACAGGAGCACGGGUGUCAUCCGUUAUCAAAUCAACAACAUGGCCAAUCAACUUCCUGACACCGUUCGAAUGCCAUGUCAACUUCGAGUUGAAAGUCACCUUCCUCUCAGAAAAGGGGAGGCUGGUAAUCAUAGCAAACUCGAAAGGGGUAAUGGUGAUCUCCCCCCACACCAUAUGAAAAGUGCCCCACCACCGCUCCAACCAGGGACUGUAGUCGGGCUUUGAUGCCCGUCCUCCCUUGAGCGUCUCCCAAAGCAUGCCCGGAAUCAACCAGACUCGUCUGCAUCAAGAUCGCUCGAGCCUCCACAUCGUCAUAGACAGUCGGGAAAACAUUAUAAAGAUCCCUCAAAGACCAAAAUGUGCGCAACGGCUCCCCGUCAACCUACAAAUGGGUGGAUCAGUUCAAGAUCUAUACAAAUUCAAGAGAUAAAUUCAAAGCACAAGUACAAGAUUUACCAAAUCAGCGCCAGGCCGCUGGGACAGAUGAAACUCCGUUUGAAAUACAAGAUCCGAAGGACGCGAGCCAGCGCCGUCAAAGGUAGGCACUCUCCGCGGUACCAUGCCUGGCUCCGACACAUUCGUCGCCGCCGCUUCGUCAUCCGAAGCGUCCUCCAUAGCAACUCGGACCGCCGAACGUUCGUCAACCUUCCUCUGGGUGUGAUGAGGCAUGCUAAAGCAUUCGAAAUACAAAAAACAUCAACAUUCAAGAUUGGGGGCUAUCCUAUACUAGCUCGUACAAAAAUCAAGGUUCAAAAAAUCCCUAGUGGCAAUACAAGUUUAGCUAGGGACCUCUACUUCAAAAGAGAAUUCUAAACCAACGGCCUAGGCUAUCCAUGCCGAAGCAGUUUUACAAGUUCUACCUCCUAACGCCUAGGCUAUCCAUGCCGAAGCAGGAAUACAAGUUCUACACCAACGCCUGGCUAUCUAUGCCGAAGCAGGUAUACAAGUUCUACACAAACGCCUAGGCUAUCCAUGCCGAAGCAGGUAUACAAGUUCUACAUCAACGCCUAAGCUAUCCAUGCCGAAGCAAAUAUUCGAAGAUUCUACAAACGACAUCUAGGCCAUCCUAGCCUACUCUUCUUCAAGACGCAACAAGGUCACCAGUGGAGUCACUAUCUACAAAUACUAAGUACAAAAUUCAAGGAAAAGUUCAAAAUUCUACAAGUUCCAACGGUACAAAAUUCUACUAGUUCCAACAGUUCAAGUUCAAGUGGCUACCAAACAAUUUUAUACAAGAUUCAAGAAGCCUACUAUCAUACAAGCAUCAUAUCAACAAGCAUUUCAAAGUACAAAAAUCGAGGCUACACGCAAUCCUAGAGGUUAUUUCUAAACAAAACAUGAAAUACUUACAUGGACAAGGCAAGGGCAACAAGAUCAAGGGGAUAGUAGUCGACCUUUGAGAGAGAAAAAGCAAGAAAUGAGAUUGUUUGCUCUUCAAAUGGCACGGCAAGGGGGCAUUUAUAGCCAACCCCUACGCCAAACGCCGAGGCAUGCGCUGGGCGCCGGCUGCUGCAUGCGCAGAAUCUUCCGUGCGCGGUCCUCCGUGCUGAUUACACGUUCUUUGCUGCUACGGUUUUCUGCACCAGGUGUCACGGUCCGAAUGUUUUGACACCGGAUCCGUGCGGCGCCCUCUUGCCUAUUGGCGGCAAGGAGGCGAGCCUUGUGCGGAAUGAGUGUCUUGUGACUCGUAGGGGCACGAGUAAGCGUCUGAUUCUGAAAGGGCACUCUUGCCUAUUGGCGACAAGAGCGAGGUCGAGGGUCGAACGUGGCGCUUGUGUGCGCACAUCAGGCACAAGCGGGACCGUCGACGAGAGUUUAUCUGUUUUGAGGGACUUUGGUGGGUCUUGGAAAGCUUAAAAGCAUGCGACAGCACAGUAUCUAUAAAGGCUAACAACAACACAUGAAUUAAGCAAAGGCAACUUCUGAUGAGAGGUAUUGGUUCAUACCCCUCAUAGAGGUUUAUUUUAAAUUAACUAAAACUUGCCAGUGAACACUGGAAUUACAAUAACAUAAUAAUUCUUCCUAAAGCCUAGAAAACUAUUAGAAAGAUCCUAGAAAGCAUUAGAAAGGAGAAAUACAAGUAAAGGAAGGUUGGAUUCUAACAUCCUCCCCCACUUAAGCUCUCGACGACCUCGUCGACUUACAAGAAUUACAAUGGAUAAAAGAAAAAGCUCCUAUUCUAAACUCUGUAGUCUUUGCUGCGCCGUUGGUUGAUGGCGGUUGCUGGAGUUUUCCUUGAUCUUCUUGUCUUUUGGUAGCUUGUUUUGUCCCUGUUGGAGUCUUGUUGGCUUGGGUUUGAUGCUUCUUAUAAAUCCAAGUCUUCCUUGAUUCUUGUUUCUUUCUCGGAGCAGCAUGGCCCGAACUAGCAUCUUGAUUCUGGUAUCUGCAGCGAGGUUGUGUCUGAGAUGUCGUCUUUCUGUGUGGCUCCAUCACUCGCUUUGGUGGGCAUCUGGUGCGAGGCUGCUUCUGGGAUGUCGCCUUCUUCUGGGGCUUCAUCACUCGCAUUGUCGACAGGUGUCGGACUUCUUCUUCUUCUUCUUCCUCUUCUUCUUGAGGUAUCAUUCUCAUGGCGCCCAUUCUGUAUAUGGAACCUAUUAUCUGAGGCUGCACAUCUUCUUCUUCUUCGGGCUCGCCUGUUUCAUUGACGGUCAUGGCCGCCAGUCUCUUUUGGAGGUUGUCAAUCUCCCCUUUGUGUUUGCACUCCCACCAUUUGUGUUGGCCUCGACAUAGCAAGCAGCUAAGCCUACUGAUGUUUCCCGAGGACGUGCCGACUUUGGAUUCUCUUGUUGAUUGGGAUGGAGACGACCAUGAUUUCUGAGAGUCGCCUCCCCACUUCUUGGCUUGAAUCCCCCGACUGAGUUGGACGGCACCUUCGAGCCACUUGUUGUGCUCUUAGGUGAGUUUGGAGUCGGGCCCUCCAAACUUGUAGGCGUCCCCCUUGGUUCUUCUUCUGAGCGAUGGCCCCUCCCAGCAGAGUAGUCCAUUAAUCGCUCUGCAGCAGUCAUCGCGGCAGGGUGUCAACCUUCGCCCUCAAUACUUCACGCUGCUCCCAUUCUUGUAGCCCGUGAACAAAGUUGAACAACCUAUCUUUUUCAUUCAUGUCACGGAUGUCCAACAUGCAAGCCGAGUAUUCUUUCACAUAGUCGCGUAUGGAGCCCUUGUGGCGGAUCUCCUGCAGCUUCAUUCUUGCAACAAACUCGGUGUUCUCGGGGUAGAACUGAUCUUUGAGUUCCUUCUUGAACUAUUCCCAAGUAUCUAUCUUGAUUUUCCCACCUUCGAUGUCGGCGUGCUUUGUGCGCCACCACAACUUCGCAUCAUCCGACAAGUGCAUGGUCGCAGUAUCAACCUUUAGAUCGUUGCUCAGCUAACAAAUCCGACAAAUUCGAGAGUACUGCUCCAUGUCGAAGAGGAAGUUAUCAACUUCCUUCGAGUCUCUAGCCCCACUGUAGUCUCGAGGCUUUGGAGGUUUGAUCUUCAUCGCACCACCUCCACUCGAGUCAGUUCUUGCAGCGCGCAUCAGUGUCGCGUAUUUGUCUUGGCCAUCUUCAGCUUGCUUCUGGACAAAGUUGAGUUGUUCCUGAAGCGCUUCUUUCUCUUGCAUGAGCUCAUCGACCGCAUCCUCGAGUCUUUCUAUCUCUUUGGCUUGACCAAUCACAAUUUCCUCGAGUCGGGUCCAGCUCUCUGACUUGGCUGGAACCUUCCAGCCAGGUUAGUCUUUCUUCGAUUGUUUCCAUCUCAGUUUGCUUCUUAGGUCUCUCGAUGCCUAGGUUUGAACCUUGGCUCUGAUACCAACUGUCACGGUCCAAAUGUUAUAACACCGGAUCCGUGCGGCGCCCUCUUGCCUAUUGGCGGCAAGGAGGCGAGCCUUGUGCGGAAUGAGUGUCUUGUGACUCGUAGGGGCACGAGUAAUCUGAUUCUGAAAGGGCACUCUUGCCUAUUGGCAACAAGAGCGAGGGUCGAGGGUCAAACGGGGCGCUUGUGUGCGCACAGCAUGCACAAGCGGGACCGUCGACGAGAGUUUAUCUGUUUUGAGGGACUUUGGUGGGUCUUGAAAUGCUUAAUAGCAUGCGACAACACAAUAUCUAUAAAGGCUAGCAACAACACAUGAAUUAAGUAAAGGCAAUUUCUGAUGAGAGGUAUUGGUUCCUACCCCUGAUAGAGGUUUAUUUUGAAUUAGCUAAAACUUGCCAGUGAGCACUGGAAUUACAGUGACAUAAUAAUUCUUCCUAAAGCAUAGAAAACUAUUAGAAAGAUCCUAGAAAGCAAUAGAAAGGAAAAAUACAAGUAAAGGAAGGUUGGAUUCUAACACGAGGCAUCAAAUCAUGCUAUCUUCCGAAAUUACUGGUAUAUACCUGUUUCUCCGGACAUCAAGAGAUAAAUAUUUCAAGAAUGCAAAGUCCGAAAAAUACAAGAAUUCAGGCAUUCGACUCCAAACAGACCCGAGCUCCAGGAAAGUCAGCCGAAAUUUCAAAAUUUUUAGAGCCAAUUAAAAGCUCUUCUCCCCAGCCAUCAUAUCCCCAGCGGAUCAACUCCGGGUAUUCAAAAUCCAAAAUUCAAAAUUCAUGAUUAAUAAUUUUCGAUGCCAAGCUCCGUCCUGAACCAAAGGCGGAAAAGAAGUACAAGUACACAUCGGAGUUUUCACAACCGCACGGAGGUAGACUCCAUCCUUUUUCCUAACGCUUGUCUCGUGCAGGUACCGGCGUAAAUAGAAUGGUCUUGAUUGCAGAAUAUCUUGACCGUUUUCCGUACAGAGUCGAAAACUUUGACUUGCGCUUUCCUAACCGGACGCUCAGUCAAAGUGGGGGCUUCUGUAGACACCUAAAUCGUGUCCAAUGUUAUAUGGAACGCGGGACGUAUGGGAACGUGGUACGGGAACGGGAACGCGGAACUCUCCAUUCAAAGUUCCCGGAACGUUGUGUUAAUUUGUUAAUUUUUUUUUUUUUUAAUUUUAUAAUACAAAAUUACAGAAAAUUAAGUAAAAGCUAGUUGCACGCAACUAUAAUAAUAAAUAAAAGAGAAUAAAAAUAAUAAAAGAAUGAUAAAAGGGGAAGGGUCCACUGUCAUAAAGAUGAAGUCUCCUUUAAAGUCUAAAGUCUAAACACUCUAAUAUAUAAAGAAAUAAAGAAAUAAAUAUGAAGGGGCCACAACUAUCAUUAUCUGUGCAAUCUAACAGCUGUAACUCAUUACAAUAAAUGCAGAAUCUUUUGCCAAAAAAUAUAAUAAAAUAAACGGAUUUUUCAUGAAAUACCCCUCAAUUUUCACGAAAUUCACCAAAUGCCCCUCGACUUUCAGAAAUUCACCAAAUGCCCCUCACCUUUAAUAUAAUACUCAAAAUACCCUUAUACUUAACGGACGUUAAGUCGCCGUUAGCUUCCUUUUACCAUUUUGCCCUUAUUUUGCUUUUAGUUAUUUGCAGUCCUCUCCUUCCCAGAUCUACAUCGCCAUUGUAGUACCUUCAACUGAGAGAGAGAGAGUGAACAAGUAAUUUUCUCUCUCCUCCAUUUUCUUCCUCCUUCGAACUUGUGCAAAAUCUCCAAUUUUGUUCUCUCACUUUUCAAAGAUCUGCAGCUCAAUCAUGUCCAAUAUCACGCAAUCAAUGUCGUCGAAUUUCUAGGGUUUUUGCAAUUCGAUCGAAAUCCACUGAGAAGAGGAAAAAAUAAUCGAUCGAUUGAUAAUGGAGUCACGAUCUUCACAUCAUCUUCACCAUCAAGCGAGAAUACAUCUCAAGAACAAGCUCAAAUUCAUCUCUUUCAAGUAAGACGAUUUUCGAGCAAAAAUCUCUCAUCAAUUCUCAAUAAUCCUCACUCUUCUCGCUCUAGCGACGCUUCGUCGUGGCUUGGGUGGUGGUCUUCACCGACUUCGGUGAUUUUUCCCGAAUUCGCCCCGAUUAAUGCCUCCAAACGUAAAGAUGAAUUCUCGGCAAUGAAUGAGAAUUUGGUGUUGCAGGAGAGAUUUUCGCAGUAUUUGGAUGUGGUGGAGAUGCAUUUGGUGAAGGAGAUAUGGGUGCGGUCAAAUUCGUGUGGUAAUUUAAGUGUCAGAGCUUAGCACCAUUUUUUUCUGCUGCGUUUCUUGUGCUAGAGUUGGGGAUGAGGCAACUGUAAGUGUCAGAGCUCUUUGUGUGGUAAUUUGUUGCGUUUCUUGUGCUAGAGUUGGGGAUGAGUCAACUUUGAGUAUAAGUUUGGGUGGGUUGUCUCAAUUUCCUGGUUAGGCUUUCCUUCUCCUUCCCCUGUUCCCCUAAACCACCGUAAGAGUGAUCAGGUUGAUAACUACUAACUAGGAUACUUCAUAUGUUGAUGAAGACAACAAGAACAACCUAGUAUCGUAGUAUGUAUAUCGUGUACGCGUGUUGGCGGAGAUUUCGUGUACUCAGUCUAUUACACGAGUCCUCCAGUGAAGCUCAGCUUCUGAAAAGUCGACAUUGGACAACAAAUGUCGAAACUCUUUGAAUUUGUGCUAUACAUAAAAGGCGUUUGAUCAUAGGUACCCAAAGAAGGGAAUAUCUCAUGAAGAAAAAUGCUGGUCCGAAAUGAACAUAUCAUACCGAUGUUAAUUCAAUUUUCUUUUCUUAUUGCUCGAAUUUGUUUAGGGCAUUCCUGCUAAGCUUAGAAAUAAAUAGUAUUUUGUAAUAGAGCAUCAUUUUUUGAUAAUUAAUGUUAAAGAAAGUGAACAUGAUGUUGA